CACUUUUUAGCUUUAAAAAACUAGUAUGAAAUUUACUUCCAUAUGUACAAAUUUGAGUUUCUAAGAAGCAAAAUAAUGGUGACAAAAAUCCUUUUAAGUCAAUCUUCAGCUAAAGUGCUUCCUCCCAUUUUGUUAUUGACUUGAUUUCCUACAUCCACAUUUGCAGUUUUCAAGUUCUGUAUUCAGAUUCUGAACCUGAUCUUGAAGGGUUCGAAUAUGCUGCACUGCUAGAUCCAGCAUGUCAGCAUAGCUCGUUUGCUUGUCCAUGUUUGGAACAAG
rnacentral:misc_RNA from 1 species